UACGUAGGCAGCGAGCGUUGUUCGGAGUUACUGGGCGUAAAGAGUGCGUAGGCGGUUUUCUAAGUUGGUGUGAAAUCUCCCGGCUCAACUGGGAGGUGCGCCGAAGACUGGAAGGCUUGAGUAUGGGAGAGGUAAGCGGAAUUCCUGGUGUAGCGGUGAAAUGCGUAGAUAUCAGGAGGAACACCUGCGGUGUAGACGGCUUACUGGACCAUAACUGACGCUGAGGCACGAAAGCGUGGGUAGCAAACAGG
rnacentral:rRNA from 1 species